ensembl:snRNA U6 U6 spliceosomal RNA
AUGCCCAAUUUGGCAGCAUAUAUACUGAAAUUGAAACAAUACAAACAAGACUAGUAUGGCCUCUGUGCAAGUAUAACUUAUACAUGUAUAAAGUAUUCCUUAUAUUU